CUCCGACGAGCCCCAAACCACCCUAAAACCGACGCCAAACGCUCAGUUACCACCACGAGAAGGAUCCCAAACGAAAGCACAAUAACUCAAGGAACUUGUAGGCCACAAAACUCCCAGAAAGGAAAGAAGGACAACAAACUAAGAGGAAAAGGAAGAAAGAGGACUAAAAUCAGCAACGGAAACGCAGCGGGAAGGAGAGAGAAAAUGCACCAGUAAAUCGGCCGAAAUUUGGUAA